UUAGUGUUUUUGAAUAUAUCUUAGUUAAAUAACAUGAAAAUAUAUAUUAUAUAUUGUCAUGUGAUUAAACUAAUAUAUUCAUAAUAUCUAAUGUUGAAUAAACAUAAAUUGGCAAAAUCAAGAGAUAGAAUAUAAAAAUAAAAACCCUGGCAAUAACCUACUCCA
rnacentral:misc_RNA from 1 species